rnacentral:rRNA from 1 species
GGGCGGGACACGUGGUAUCCUGUCUGAAUAUGGGGGGACCAUCCUCCAAGGCUAAAUACUCCUGACUGACCGAUAGUGAACCAGUACCGUGAGGGAAAGGCGAAAAGAACCCCGGCGAGGGGAGUGAAAAAGAACCUGAAACCGUGUACGUACAAGCAGUGGGAGCCUCUUUUAUGGGGUGACUGCGUACCUUUUGUAUAAUGGGUCAGCGACUUAUAUUCUGUAGCAAGGUUAACCGAAUAGGGGAGCCGAAGGGAAACCGAGUCUUAACUGGGCGUUAAGUUGCAGGGUAUAGACCCGAAACCCGGUGAUCUAGCCAUGGGCAGGUUGAAGGUUGGGUAACACUAACUGGAGGACCGAACCGACUAAUGUUGAAAAAUUAGCGGAUGACUUGUGGCUGGGGGUGAAAGGCCAAUCAAACCGGGAGAUAGCUGGUUCUCCCCGAAAGCUAUUUAGGUAGCGCCUCGUGAAUUCAUCUCCGGGGGUAGAGCACUGUUUCGGCAAGGGGGUCAUCCCGACUUACCAACCCGAUGCAAACUGCGAAUACCGGAGAAUGUUAUCACGGGAGACACACGGCGGGUGCUAACGUCCGUCGUGAAGAGGGAAACAACCCAGACCGCCAGCUAAGGUCCCAAAGUCAUGGUUAAGUGGGAAACGAUGUGGGAAGGCCCAGACAGCCAGGAUGUUGGCUUAGAAGCAGCCAUCAUUUAAAGAAAGCGUAAUAGCUCACUGGUCGAGUCGGCCUGCGCGGAAGAUGUAACGGGGCUAAACCAUGCACCGAAGCUGCGGCAGCGACACUAUGUGUUGUUGGGUAGGGGAGCGUUCUGUAAGCCUGUGAAGGUGUGCUGUGAGGUAUGCUGGAGGUAUCAGAAGUGCGAAUGCUGACAUAAGUAACGAUAAAGCGGGUGAAAAGCCCGCUCGCCGGAAGACCAAGGGUUCCUGUCCAACGUUAAUCGGGGCAGGGUGAGUCGACCCCUAAGGCGAGGCCGAAAGGCGUAGUCGAUGGGAAACAGGUUAAUAUUCCUGUACUUGGUGUUACUGCGAAGGGGGGACGGAGAAGGCUAUGUUGGCCGGGCGACGGUUGUCCCGGUUUAAGCGUGUAGGCUGGUUUUCCAGGCAAAUCCGGAAAAUCAAGGCUGAGGCGUGAUGACGAGGCACUACGGUGCUGAAGCAACAAAUGCCCUGCUUCCAGGAAAAGCCUCUAAGCAUCAGGUAACAUCAAAUCGUACCCCAAACCGACACAGGUGGUCAGGUAGAGAAUACCAAGGCGCUUGAGAGAACUCGGGUGAAGGAACUAGGCAAAAUGGUGCCGUAACUUCGGGAGAAGGCACGCUGAUAUGUAGGUGAAGUCCCUUGCGGAUGGAGCUGAAAUCAGUCGAAGAUACCAGCUGGCUGCAACUGUUUAUUAAAAACACAGCACUGUGCAAACACGAAAGUGGACGUAUACGGUGUGACGCCUGCCCGGUGCCGGAAGGUUAAUUGAUGGGGUUAGCGGUAACGCGAAGCUCUUGAUCGAAGCCCCGGUAAACGGCGGCCGUAACUAUAACGGUCCUAAGGUAGCGAAAUUCCUUGUCGGGUAAGUUCCGACCUGCACGAAUGGCGUAAUGAUGGCCAGGCUGUCUCCACCCGAGACUCAGUGAAAUUGAACUCGCUGUGAAGAUGCAGUGUACCCGCGGCAAGACGGAAAGACCCCGUGAACCUUUACUAUAGCUUGACACUGAACAUUGAGCCUUGAUGUGUAGGAUAGGUGGGAGGCUUUGAAGUGUGGACGCCAGUCUGCAUGGAGCCGACCUUGAAAUACCACCCUUUAAUGUUUGAUGUUCUAACGUUGGCCCCUGAUCGGGGUUGCGGACAGUGUCUGGUGGGUAGUUUGACUGGGGCGGUCUCCUCCUAAAGAGUAACGGAGGAGCACGAAGGUUGGCUAAUCCUGGUCGGACAUCAGGAGGUUAGUGCAAUGGCAUAAGCCAGCUUGACUGCGAGCGUGACGGCGCGAGCAGGUGCGAAAGCAGGUCAUAGUGAUCCGGUGGUUCUGAAUGGAAGGGCCAUCGCUCAACGGAUAAAAGGUACUCCGGGGAUAACAGGCUGAUACCGCCCAAGAGUUCAUAUCGACGGCGGUGUUUGGCACCUCGAUGUCGGCUCAUCACAUCCUGGGGCUGAAGUAGGUCCCAAGGGUAUGGCUGUUCGCCAUUUAAAGUGGUACGCGAGCUGGGUUUAGAACGUCGUGAGACAGUUCGGUCCCUAUCUGCCGUGGGCGCUGGAGAACUGAGGGGGGCUGCUCCUAGUACGAGAGGACCGGAGUGGACGCAUCACUGGUGUUCGGGUUGUCAUGCCAAUGGCACUGCCCGGUAGCUAAAUGCGGAAGAGAUAAGUGCUGAAAGCAUCUAAGCACGAAACUUGCCCCGAGAUGAGUUCUCCCUGACUCCUUGAGAGUCCUGAAGGAACGUUGAAGACGACGACGUUGAUAGGCCGGGUGUGUAAGCGCAGCGAUGCGUUGAGCUAACCGGUACUAAUGAACCGUGAGGCUUAACCUUACAAC